AGGAUGAACGCUGGCGGCGUGCUUAACACAUGCAAGUCGAACGGUGAAGUGAGGAGCUUGCUCCUUGCGGAUCAGUGGCGAACGGGUGAGUAACACGUGAGUAACCUGCCCUUGACUCUGGGAUAAGCACUGGAAACGGUGUCUAAUACCGGAUACGACCUCCGAAGGCAUCUUCUGGAAGUGGAAAGAAUUUCGGUCAAGGAUGGACUCGCGGCCUAUCAGCUAGUUGGUGAGGUAACGGCCCACCAAGGCGACGACGGGUAGCCGGCCUGAGAGGGUGACCGGCCACACUGGGACUGAGACACGGCCCAGACUCCUACGGGAGGCAGCAGUGGGGAAUAUUGCACAAUGGGCGCAAGCCUGAUGCAGCAACGCCGCGUGAGGGACGACGGCCUUCGGGUUGUAACCUCUUUUAGUAGGGAAGAAGCGAAAGUGACGGUACCUGCAGAAAAGCACCGGCUAACUACGUGCCAGCAGCCGCGGU
rnacentral:rRNA from 1 species